rnacentral:rRNA from 1 species
CACGGGGGGAGCAAGCGUUGUUCGGAAUCACUGGGCGUAAAGGGCGUGUAGGCGGUCAAGUAAGUGGAAUGUGAAAGCCCCCGGCUCACCCGGGGAUCUGCAUCCCAAACUGCUUGGCUUGAGUACGGGAGAGGAUAGGGGAAUUCCUGGUGUAGCGGUGAAAUGCGUAGAUAUCGAGAGGAACACCUGCGGCGAAGGCGGGUUGCUGGGCUGACACUGACGCUGAUGCGCGAAAGCCAGGGGAGCGAACGGG